GUCGAAUCCUGCACAGCAGAACAACCCGAGAACCGGUUAACAACCAGUUUGGAGACGGGGGCACCGCCCCCGCGCUCUCAAACACCGCGUGCUGUGGGUAGCCCCCCUUCGGGGUCCACGCACGCGGGCAUCAACGAAACCCGGCACGGAACGUGCCAAGGAACUCGAAUAAGAGAAGCGCGGUCUCGGCACCCCCGUUCGCGGGGCGUGACGCGAUCCAAGCGCAAUCUUUUCUAUCAAUAUC
rnacentral:misc_RNA from 1 species